GACGAACGCUGGCGGCGUGCUUAACACAUGCAAGUCGAGCGAUGAAGUUCCUUCGGGAAUGGAUUAGCGGCGGACGGGUGAGUAACACGUGGGUAACCUGCCUCAUAGAGGGGAAUAGCCUUCCGAAAGGAAGAUUAAUACCGCAUAAGAUUGUAGUAUCGCAUGAUACAGCAAUUAAAGGAGUAAUCCGCUAUGAGAUGGACCCGCGUCGCAUUAGCUAGUUGGUGAGGUAACGGCUCACCAAGGCGACGAUGCGUAGCCGACCUGAGAGGGUGAUCGGCCACAUUGGGACUGAGACACGGCCCAGACUCCUACGGGAGGCAGCAGUGGGGAAUAUUGCACAAUGGGGGAAACCCUGAUGCAGCAACGCCGCGUGAGAGAUGACGGUCUUCGGAUUGUAAAGCUCUGUCUUCAGGGACGAUAAUGACGGUACCUGAGGAGGAAGCCACGGCUAACUACGUGCCAGCCGCCGCGGUAAUAC
rnacentral:rRNA from 1 species